GACGAACGCUGGCGGCGUGCUUAACACAUGCAAGUCGAACGAAGUGGCGAACGGGUGAGUAACGCGUAAUCAACCUGCCCUUCAGAGGGGGACAACAGUUGGAAACGACUGCUAAUACCGCAUACUGAAGGGGGGGAUUGCGUCUGAUUAGCUAGUUGGGGGGGUAACGGCCCACCCAGGCGAAUAUCCGUAGCCUGUCUGGGAGGGUGAACGGCCACAUUUGGACGGGGAAACGGGCCAGACUCCUACGGGAGGGAGCAGUGGGGAAUCUUCCGAAAUGGACGAAAGUCCGACGGAGCAACGCCGCGUGGGUGAUGACGGCCUUCGGGUUGGAAAGCUCUGUUAAUCGGGACGCGGUACCGGAAUAGAAAGCCAUGGCUAACUACGUGCCAGCAGCCGCGGUAAUAC
rnacentral:rRNA from 1 species